rnacentral:sRNA from 1 species
AGAACUAACUCUGGGCAGCAUGGCGUCUUUCCGGCUUCUCCAAACCCUUGCGAAAAACUUUAUUGGCAAAGCUAUCAGAGAACGGACAGUGUACCCACUGAGGCGGCCAAAGCUUAACUGGAUCAGGGCAGGAUGACAUGACCUUGUGGUAGAUCCCAGAACUGAGGCCCCAGGAUGACAGAACAGGAGACCCUGGUCCUGCUGGAAGUGAAGAGAGCCCCCUGAGUCAGAACCACUUACCAAGCUAGAGGAGCUGCCCGAAGAUGAUGCCAACCUGCUGCCUGAGAAAGCGGCCCGUGCCUUCGUGCCUAUUGACCUACAGUGCAUUGAGCGGCAGCCCCAAGAAGACCUUAUCGUGCGCUGUGAGGCAGGCGAGGGCGAGUGCCGAACCUUCAUGCCCCCCCGGGUCACCCACCCCGACCCCACUGAGCGCAAGUGGGCUGAGGCAGUGGUGAGGCCGCCUGGCUGUUCCUGUGGGGGCUGCGGGAGCUGUGGAGACCGUGAGUGGCUAAGGGCUGUGGCCUCUGUGGGAGCUGCACUCAUCCUCUUCCCUUGCCUACUAUAUGGGGCAUAUGCCUUCCUGCCGUUUGAUGUCCCACGGCUGCCCACCAUGAGUUCCCGCCUGAUCUACACACUGCGCUGCGGGGUCUUUGCCACCUUCCCCAUUGUGCUGGGGAUCCUGGUGUACGGGCUGAGCCUGUUAUGCUUUUCUGCCCUUCGGCCCUUUGGGGAGCCACGGCGGGAGGUGGAGAUCCACCGGCGAUAUGUGGCCCAGUCGGUCCAGCUCUUUAUCCUCUACUUCUUCAACCUGGCCGUGCUUUCCACUUACCUGCCCCAGGAUACCCUCAAACUGCUCCCCCUGCUCACUGGUCUCUUUGCCGUCUCCCGGCUGAUCUACUGGCUGACCUUCGCCGUGGGCCGCUCCUUCCGAGGCUUCGGCUACGGCCUGACGUUUCUGCCGCUGCUGUCGAUGCUGCUGUGGAACCUCUACUACAUGUUCGUGGUGGAGCCGGAGCGCAUGCUCACUGCCACCGAGAGCCGCCUGGACUACCCGGACCACGCCCGCUCGGCCUCUGACUACAGGCCCCGCCCCUGGGGCUGAGCCGCUCCGCUCUCGCCCUCGGAGUAGCGGGUAGCGGCGUGGGUCAGACACAUCUUUGAACCUUGUGGCCAGGCCUGGACUUCGCCCCCAGGCCUAGGACCGCGGUGGGUGGAACCCUGCUACUGCCCCAACAGGGACUCCAAUCAGUCAGAGUUCUCCCCUUGCCGGAGCUGCCCUUCACCUUUGGGGCCCCAGACAGUCAUAAGGGAUGGACUUAGUUUUCUUGCAGGGAAAAAGGUGGACAGCCGUGUUUCUUAAGGAUGCUGAGGGCAUGGGGCCAGGACCAGGGGAGAGACACAGCUCCUUCCUGAGCAGCCUCCCACCACUGCCACAAGGCUCCCUAAUGCUGGACUCUGCUCCACUCCCUGGCUUCCCGUGAGGCAGGAGGCAGAGCCACAGCCAAGGCCCUGACCACUUCUGUGCCAGUUGUCUAAGCAGAGCGCCUCAGGGACGCUGGAAAUGCCUUAAGGAUAGAGGUCGGGCAUCACAUCAAAUGGGACUGUGGUGUUUGGUGAAAACCUUCCUGGGGAUCUGGAUUCAGGACCCUCCAUGACUGGGCUAUUUACUAUUUACAGCUGGCCAGUCCAGAGCUGCUGCUCUUUUACCUAUUUAGGCCCCUGUAACUUCCCACCUUUAAACUGCACAGAAGCCAUGCCUCUCCCACGGGAAGAGGGGAGCAGACAGGGAAAUCUGCCUCCCAAGAGGGAUGUGUGUGUGUUUGUGCCCACACAUGGUGGCUGGGGAGUGCCUGGAUGGUGCGGUGGUUGAUGUUAACCUAGUGUGAGUGUAUGUGUGUAACAAUAAAUUACUACCAGUC